rnacentral:antisense_RNA from 1 species
UUGACGGUGUACUCCCAGGUGGCGUCGGCCUGCAGCAGGGCCUCGUCGCCGAGGUGGUCGCCGUCCGCGAGGAAGCCGACCACCGCCUCGUCGCCGUACUUGCCCCGGCCGAUCUUGUUGACCUUGCCGUGGGCGAUCAGGAAGACCUCUUCGACCGGACGCCCGACUUCGACCAGCACCUCGCCGGCGGAGAAGUCGCGCUGGACGAAGCGGGCCGCCAGCUCCGCCAGCAGGCCGUCGUCCUCGAACCCGCGCAGCACCGGCAGCUCGCGCAGCGAGGGCGGCACCAGGCGGACGUCCGCCCCCGUCUUGACGAAACUCACCCGGCCACGCCCGACCGCGUACGUGAGGCGCCGGUUGACGCGGUAGGUACCACCGGCGACCUGCACCCAGGGGAGCAUCUUCAGCAGCCAACGGGAGCUGAUGCCCUGCAUCUGCGGCGCGGACUUGGUGGUGGUCGCGAGGUUCUUCGCGCCCGCCGUGCCAAGGCUCUGCUGCUGCCGG